GACGAACGCUGGCGGCGUGCCUAAUACAUGCAAGUUGAGCGAUGAAGAUUGGUGCUUGCACCAAUUUGAAGAGCAGCGAACGGGUGAGUAACGCGUGGGGAAUCUGCCUUUGAGCGGGGGACAACAUUUGGAAACGAAUGCUAAUACCGCAUAACAACUUUAAACAUAAGUUUUAAGUUUGAAAGAUGCAAUUGCAUCACUCAAAGAUGAUCCCGCGCUGUAUUAGCUAGUUGGUGAGGUAAAGGCUCACCAAGGCGAUGAUACAUAGCCGACCUGAGAGGGUGAUCGGCCACAUUGGGACUGAGACACGGCCCAAACUCCUACGGGAGGCAGCAGUAGGGAAUCUUCGGCAAGGGACGAAAGUCUGAACGAGCAACGCCGCGUGAGUGAAGAAGGUUUUCGGAUCGUAAAACUCUGUUGGUAGAGAAGAACGUUGGUGAGAGUGGAAAGCUCAUCAAGUGACGGUAACUACACAGAAAGGGACGGCUAACUACGUG
rnacentral:rRNA from 1 species